AACAAAUGAAUGGUUUUAUGAAAAUUCUUAUGCAAAAUGACUCAUUUAUACAAAAAUUAGAAACCCAAUUUCCUUCACUGAGAACCAUUAUUAGGUGGGUUGAAUGGUACUUUUCCAUACAAAAAAGGGUUGGUUUCUUAUUCUAAAUUAUUCAUUUUAUUGGCUUUGAUUUGAACAUUUCAUUCAGGUAAAAAACCACUGCACUAUUUUUC
rnacentral:lncRNA from 1 species